rnacentral:rRNA from 1 species
GACGAACGCUGGCGGCGUGCUUAACACAUGCAAGUCGAACGGAAAGGCCCUGCUUUUGUGGGGUGCUCGAGUGGCGAACGGGUGAGUAACACGUGAGUAACCUGCCCUUGACUUUGGGAUAACUUCAGGAAACUGGGGCUAAUACCGGAUAGGAGCUCCUGCUGCAUGGUGGGGGUUGGAAAGUUUCGGCGGUUGGGGAUGGACUCGCGGCUUAUCAGCUUGUUGGUGGGGUAGUGGCUUACCAAGGCUUUGACGGGUAGCCGGCCUGAGAGCGUGACCGGCCACAUGGGGACUGAGGAAGGCAGCAGACGCGUACGUGAGGCAGUAGUGGAGAAUAUUGCAGAAUGGGCGGAAGUGUGAUGUAGCAACGCUGCGUGCGGGAUGACGGCCUUCGGGGUGUAAACCUCUUUGGCAGGUGACGAAGAGUGAGUGACGGUAAUGGGUAAAGAAGCACCGGCUAACUACGUG